AUUGAACGCUGGCGGCAUGCUUUACACAUGCAAGUCGAACGGUAACAGGCCGCAAGGUGCUGACGAGUGGCGAACGGGUGAGUAAUGCAUCGGAACGUGCCCAGUCGUGGGGGAUAACGCAGCGAAAGCUGCGCUAAUACCGCAUACGAUCUAUGGAUGAAAGCGGGGGACCGUAAGGCCUCGCGCGAUUGGAGCGGCCGAUGUCAGAUUAGGUAGUUGGUGAGGUAAAGGCUCACCAAGCCAACGAUCUGUAGCUGGGCUGAGAGGAGGACCAGCCACACAGGGACUGAGACACGGCCCAGACUCCUACGGGAGGCAGCAGUGGGGAAUUGUGGACAAUGGGCGCAAGCCUGAUCCAGCAAUGCCGCGUGCAGGUAGAAGGCCUUCGGGUUGUAAACUGCUUUUGUACGGAACGAAACGGCUCUCACUGAUACUGGGGGCUAAUGACGGUACCGUAAGGAUAAGCACCGGCUAACUACGUGCCAGCCGCCGCUGUAACAC
rnacentral:rRNA from 1 species